UAAUCUAGAAGCCACAAAAAUCUGCAAGUAAAAUAACACUGUUAUCAUUUCUUCUCACAAAAUGUGCAAACUUAAAAUGAAGAAGAAAGGAUAAUUUAAAGAAAAACUGUAUGAAUAUUAUAAUUCUUCUUCCUUAUCAAUGAAAUUAUUGAAAACUAUCAGAAAUGCAGGAUACAUGUCAAAAAAGAAGAAAAAAGGGGAAAUAUUUUGAACUAUAGAGGCCUUUCGUUAUAAUCUUUUCAUCAAUGGGAGAACCAUAACUACAAAUAUCUAAAUUGACUGAGAUCAAUGGUUCUACACGAUUUGUAGUAAGCCUACGAUUUCAAGACCUUGGAACAUUUCUAUUAAAAUCCCACUGAAAAAGUUGUAAGAUGUAGUUAAGCAUGCCAUGCCAAUGGUCUAGCAGCCAAUGGUCAUCUGCGUGCCCCAUAGCCCAGGUAGUCGGGGAUUAAAAUUCCUGACUAUCUCAGCCUUAAGAGGGAAAACAAAGAAAAAGAAAAGAAAGAACUAGGGUAACAAGCAAUAUCUUUUUUCCUAUAUAUAAGGGUUUAAACCUUAAAACCUUUAAUCCUAACAAUUCCCCUAUUAAGCAUUAAGAAACAUGACUACAUAUAUAUGAUAAGAUGCCAUGCACGCUAGUUACAUAUCAGAUUGACGAUAGUUUAGUCUUGGGUCUUCAUAGGUUCAAAUCCCACGGAAGAAGGGAUCUGGACUUAAAGGAGGAAGGGAGGGAGAGAGAGAAAAAGAGUUACACUCUCAUCAAUUAAAGCAAAUGGGUAAUAUUACUUCUGAAAAAGAAAAAGGUUAAUAUGUCAACCAUAGUACCAUCUGUGAAUUAUUAUGAGCAUAUACAGUAGAUAAGUAUACAUGACAUACGGUAGCAAUAUCAGCUAAUAUCCAUUCUUUUUCCUAUGUUAAAUGAAGAUUUCUUCAAUAACAAGGCCCAGGAUAUCAAACGACGAAAUGCCCUCCAGCUUGUGGCCAAGAGAGUGAUCCAGUUUACUGGAUACUUGUUCUACAAUAUAAAUUUCGCUACAAAAUCAGCUGCCCGCCUUGCAGUUGAUAUAGUUUAUAUCAUUUAUAGUGAUAUCGAAGACAGUCAAAUCCUCGAUCACUCACACGACAGAUGAUUAGUAUGUGAGAUGAAUGAUAAAGUCAAGACUAUAUCUAUCUCGUAUCAAUAAAUCCCCCAUACUUGCAACAAUCAAAUUUUCGAGAUUCCUUUAUCAGAAAAAUUAACCAAAUAUCUAGAAACUUGAUUUUCUAUCCUUUUAAAUUUCAAUGUUGAUCUUUAAAAAAACCAUAUUAGCAUUAGUUAAGCAGGCUGUCAGCUCUUGAACACCCGUCCAAAUUUCGGAUCUUCCUCCAUAGAAGAUAGGCAAUCACAUUCAACAUAUCAAUGUCCAGUUAUAAUAAUCGCAAAACCAACUCCCUAAAUCACUUGAUCAAAUUAAAAUAAAAUAAAAUAAAA
rnacentral:misc_RNA from 1 species